rnacentral:rRNA from 1 species
GGUUAAGUGACUAAGCGUACACGGUGGAUGCCUUGGCAGUCAGAGGCGAUGAAAGACGUAGUAACUUGCGAUAAGCCCAGAUUAGGUAGUAACAACCAUUUGAGUCUGGGAUUUCUGAAUGGGGAAACCCACUUACAUAAGUAAGUAUCAUUAACUGAAUACAUAGGUUAAUGAGGCGAACCGGGGGAACUGAAACAUCUAAGUACCCCGAGGAAAAGAAAUCAACCGAGAUUCCGAAAGUAGCGGCGAGCGAAAUUGGACUAGCCCUUAAGCUUUACACGCGUUAGACGAACGGUCUGGAAAGUCCGACGAUACAGGGUGAUAGUCCCGUAGUUGACGACGUGUGUUCAGUGAAAUCGAGUAGGGCGGGACACGUGAUAUCCUGUCUGAAUAUGGGGGACCAUCCUCCAAGGCUAAAUACUACUGACUGACCGAUAGUGAACCAGUACCGUGAGGGAAAGGCGAAAAGAACCCCUGUGAGGGGAGUGAAAUAGAACCUGAAACCGUGUACGUACAAGCAGUAGGAGCAGGCUUUGUCCUGUGACUGCGUACCUUUUGUAUAAUGGGUCAGCGACUUAUAUUCAGUGGCAAGGUUAACCAUCUAGGGGAGCCGUAGGGAAACCGAGUCUUAACUGGGCGUUCAGUCUCUGGAUAUAGACCCGAAACCAGGUGAUCUAGCCAUGGGCAGGUUGAAGGUUGAGUAACAUCAACUGGAGGACCGAACCGACUAAUGUUGAAAAAUUAGCGGAUGACUUGUGGCUAGGGGUGAAAGGCCAAUCAAACCUGGAGAUAGCUGGUUCUCCCCGAAAGCUAUUUAGGUAGCGCCUCGGACGAAUACUACUGGGGGUAGAGCACUGUUAAGGCUAGGGGGUCAUCCCGACUUACCAACCCUUUGCAAACUCCGAAUACCAGUAAGUACUAUCCGGGAGACACACGGCGGGUGCUAACGUCCGUCGUGGAGAGGGAAACAACCCAGACCGCCAGCUAAGGUCCCAAAUUACUACUAAGUGGGAAACGAUGUGGGAAGGCUCAGACAGCCAGGAUGUUGGCUUAGAAGCAGCCAUCAUUUAAAGAAAGCGUAAUAGCUCACUGGUCGAGUCGGCCUGCGCGGAAGAUGUAACGGGGCUAAGUAGUAAACCGAAGCUGCGGCAAUGUGCUUUUGCACAUUGGGUAGGGGAGCGUUCUGUAAGCGGUUGAAGGUGUGUGGUAACGCAUGCUGGACGUAUCAGAAGUGCGAAUGCUGACAUGAGUAACGAUAAAGGGGGUGAAAAACCUCCUCGCCGGAAGACCAAGGGUUCCUGUCCAACGUUAAUCGGGGCAGGGUAAGUCGACCCCUAAGGCGAGGCCGAAAGGCGUAGUCGAUGGGAAACGGGUUAAUAUUCCCGUACUUCUUACAAUUGCGAUGGGGGACGGAGAAGGCUAGGUGGGCCUGGCGACGGUUGUCCAGGUUCAAGUGCGUAGGCUUAAGAGUUAGGUAAAUCCGGCUCUUUCUAAGGCUGAGACACGACGUCGAGCACCUACGGGUGUGAAGUCAUUGAUGCCAUGCUUCCAGGAAAAGCCUCUAAGCUUCAGAUUGUAAGGAAUCGUACCCCAAACCGACACAGGUGGUCGGGUAGAGAAUACCAAGGCGCUUGAGAGAACUCGGGUGAAGGAACUAGGCAAAAUGGUACCGUAACUUCGGGAGAAGGUACGCUCUUGAUGGUGAAGUCCCUUGCGGAUGGAGCUGACGAGAGUCGCAGAUACCAGGUGGCUGCAACUGUUUAUUAAAAACACAGCACUGUGCAAAAUCGUAAGAUGACGUAUACGGUGUGACGCCUGCCCGGUGCCGGAAGGUUAAUUGAUGGGGUUAGACUUCGGUCGAAGCUCUUGAUCGAAGCCCCGGUAAACGGCGGCCGUAACUAUAACGGUCCUAAGGUAGCGAAAUUCCUUGUCGGGUAAGUUCCGACCUGCACGAAUGGCGUAAUGAUGGCCACGCUGUCUCCACCCGAGACUCAGUGAAAUUGAAAUCGCUGUGAAGAUGCAGUGUACCCGCGGCUAGACGGAAAGACCCCGUGAACCUUUACUACAGCUUGGCACUGAACAUUGACCCUACAUGUGUAGGAUAGGUGGGAGGCUUUGAAGCACGUACGCCAGUAUGUGUGGAGCCGUCCUUGAAAUACCACCCUUGUAGUGUUGAUGUUCUAACGUCGACCCCUAAUCGGGGUUGCGGACAGUGCCUGGUGGGUAGUUUGACUGGGGCGGUCUCCUCCCAAAGAGUAACGGAGGAGCACGAAGGUGGGCUAAUCACGGUUGGACAUCGUGAGGUUAGUGCAAUGGCAUAAGCCCGCUUGACUGCGAGAAUGACAAUUCGAGCAGGUGCGAAAGCAGGUCAUAGUGAUCCGGUGGUUCUGAAUGGAAGGGCCAUCGCUCAACGGAUAAAAGGUACUCCGGGGAUAACAGGCUGAUACCGCCCAAGAGUUCAUAUCGACGGCGGUGUUUGGCACCUCGAUGUCGGCUCAUCACAUCCUGGGGCUGAAGUCGGUCCCAAGGGUAUGGCUGUUCGCCAUUUAAAGUGGUACGCGAGCUGGGUUUAGAACGUCGUGAGACAGUUCGGUCCCUAUCUGCCGUGGGCGUUGGAAGAUUGAAGGGGCUGCUCCUAGUACGAGAGGACCGGAGUGGACGAACCUCUGGUGUUCGGGUUGUGUCGCCAGACGCAUUGCCCGGUAGCUAAGUUCGGAAUCGAUAACCGCUGAAAGCAUCUAAGCGGGAAGCGAGCCCUGAGAUGAGUCUUCCCUGAUACUUUAAGUAUCCUAAAGGGUUGUCGGAGACUACGACGUUGAUAGGUCAGGUGUGUAAGUGCUGUGAGGCAUUGAGCUAACUGAUAUUAAUUGCCCGUGAGGCUUAACCAU